rnacentral:rRNA from 1 species
AGAGUUUGAUUAUGGCUCAGGAUGAACGCUAGCUACAGGCUUAACACAUGCAAGUCGAGGGGCAGCAUGAUCUGUGCUUGCACAGAUUGAUGGCGACCGGCGCACGGGUGAGUAACGCGUAUCCAACCUUCCCCUUAGUAGGGCAUAGCCCGGCGAAAGUCGGAUUAAUACCCUAUGUUUUUCCAAUGAGGACAUCUGAGCUGGAAUAAAGAUUCAUCGCUAAGGGAUGGGGAUGCGUCCGAUUAGGCUGUUGGCGGGGUAACGGCCCACCAAGCCUUCGAUCGGUAGGGGUUCUGAGAGGAAGGUCCCCCACACUGGUACUGAGACACGGACCAGACUCCUACGGGAGGCAGCAGUGAGGAAUAUUGGUCAAUGGGCGAGAGCCUGAACCAGCCAAAGUAGCGUGCAGGAUGACGGCCCUAUGGGUUGUAAACUGCUUUUAUACGGGGAUAAAGUGAGGGACGUGUCCCUUAUUGUAGGUACCGUAUGAAUAAGGACCGGCUAAUUCCGUGCCAGCCGCCGC